rnacentral:rRNA from 1 species
GACGAACGCUGGCGGCGUGCCUAAUACAUGCAAGUAGGACGCAGUUGCGAACGGGUGAGUAACGCGUAGGUAACUACCUAUUAGAGUGGGAUAACUAUUGGCUACGAUCGCUAAUCCCGCCUACUUGUAGAUGGACCUGCGUUGUAUUAGCUAGUCGGUAGGGUAAUGGCCUACCUAGGCAACGAUACAUAGCCGAGCUGGGGGGGAGGACGGGCAAAACGGGACCGAGACACGGGCCAGAAUCCCACGGGAGGCAGCAGUAGGGAAUCAUUGGCAAUGGGGGGAAACCUGACCGAGCAAAGCCGGGGGAGAGAAGAAGGGUUUUGGAGUUGAAAGCUCCUUUGUUAAGGAAGCGGUACUUAAACAGAAAGGGACGGCUAACUACGUGCCAGCAGCCGCGGUAAUUC